rnacentral:rRNA from 1 species
UACGGAGGGUGCGAGCGUUGUCCGGAAUCACUGGGCGUAAAGCGUGCGUAGGCGGUUUCUUAAGUCCGUUGUGAAAGCCCUGGGCUCAACCUGGGAACUGCGAUGGAUACUGAGGAGCUGGAGUACGGUAGAGGAAGGUGGAAUUCCCGGUGUAGCGGUGAAAUGCGUAGAGAUCGGGAGGAACAUCAGUGGCGAAGGCGGCCUUCUGGACCAGUACUGACGCUGAGGCACGAAAGCGUGUGGAGCAAACAGG